rnacentral:rRNA from 1 species
UACGUAGGUGGCAAGCGUUGUCCGGAAUUACUGGGCGUAAAGGGCGCGCAGGCGGCUGCUCAAGUCAGGCGUGAAAGGCCUGGGCUCAACCCGGGAAUUGCGCUUGAGACUGGGCUGGCUUGAGUGCGGGAGAGGAUGGUGGAAUUCCCAGUGUAGAGGUGAAAUUCGUAGAUAUUGGGAAGAACACCGGUGGCGAAGGCGGCCAUCUGGACCGCAACUGACGCUGAGGCGCGAAAGCGUGGGGAGCAAACAGG